AUUGCGCUGAAAUUGGCAGUUAUCUUCUACCUAUCUCAUGCCUUUCACUUAUAGGGAACAAAAAGGGCUUUAGGAAUGAAGUUCCUAUGAGACCUAUUCUUUUCUACAGGUUUUACACGUUCAUGCUUUUGCUUUGGCCGGUCUCCUUUGAUUCUUGUUAAAACCUAUUCUUAUGCUGAAUCCAUGGUGCAAUACUUGGAGUUCUCAUCUUACUUCGCCUCCUUUUCUUUUACUGAUUGCAGGUCUUUCUUAUUUGGUGCAACAAUCUUAGUGUGGAUCAGUUUGAACUUUGAAUCGUUUCGACUAUCUUCAAGUAAUCUUUUGCAUUGCUCUUUUAAUGUGGCAGUGAACAACGAGGGGAAAGUUCUAUC